rnacentral:lncRNA from 1 species
CUCAUUACUCUUGUAUUUUAACUAUUCACACUUUCAUGCAGUACCUGUUUUGACUAUUACUUCUUCCCUCCAAGUCUACGAAUCAUCAGAAAAUCCUGCUACUCUUUUCCUUGAAAAAGAAGCACAAAUUAAUCUGUUUUAGUGAAGGGGUAUGAUGUUUCAUGUAUCUUUAAUGAGCAGAAAUUAGAGACUUCAGCAAUCCCACUCCCUUCAUCAUUGUCUUUGUUUUUUCUUUCCAAUGCUUUCUUUCUUUUGAACUUUCAGAUCUGAGUACAGCAAUGUGGCAGACAGAUUUCUCUUCCUCCACCCACCCCACCCACAAGCCGAAAAUGACAAUGAGCCAAAGUCAGAUCCAAGAGAUCCUGAGAAUAUCUAUUUCCAGUCUCGGGAUUACCUCCUUUCAGAUGAAUCCCUGAGUUCAAGAGUCCUUGAGUUAGAGAGUCACAUGAUAGCCUCCCCGAGUGAGAUUUCCUUACCAGCAUACUUCUUGUCCAAUAGUAACUCCCUAUACUUGCCAUAUUACAAGGGACAAAGAGACCUGAAUUUUGCCAGUCUUCCAUUAUAUUUCUGUUCAUUGUUCAGAUGAUAUAGGCCCAAGGUAAAGGGGAAAUAUUUGUUCAUUAUUAAGUGGCUCUACCUUCCUGGGGAGCUUAAUGAGGAUAAUGGACUAUUUUUAACAUUUUAUGUUUCCUGUGUUUAUUCAUGCACCUGCAAGUCAUUUGACUCUUAUCCUUUUUUCUGAGUAAAAGAAAUAAAAAGCUAUUCCAAACCCA